GCUAGGCAUGGUGACGCAUGCCUGUAAUCCCAGUGGUUGGGAGGCUGAGACAGGAGGAUUGUAAGUUCAAAGUAGGUUUCAGCAAAAAUGAGGCACUAAGCAACUCAGUGAGACCCUGUCUCUA
rnacentral:sRNA from 1 species